GUACAACAGUGCAGAUGGCAUAUCAGUUACAUGGCUUUCAGAGUGGACAGUGCAAUCACUUUCACUCCCAUCACUCUGAGCUUCUUGUUCACUGUCACAAUUCUGAUCUGCAUCAGAGUUCUGCCAGUGUACAGAACCAUGUCUGUAUGCACCCGAUAUUGUUUGACCCACACAUUUUUCUGGCCAGGGAUAUCCAAGGAUGUGCGGCAGUGCUGCCAGUCAUGCGACAUCUGCCAGCGAGUAGGCAAGAGGGGUGACCGCCACAAGGCCAAAUUAUGCCCACUGCCCGUCAUUGAAGAACCCUUUAGUAGAGUGGCCGUAGAUAUAGUAGGCCCCUUACCAAAGCCCAGUCCCUCUGGCAAGAAAUAUAUUUUAACCGUGGUAGACUACGCCACCCGGUACCCAGAGGCAGUAGCUCUCUCCAAUAUUCACGCUGAGACUGUGGCCGAGGCCUUAAUAAAAAUAUUCUCACGGGUGGGGUUUCCCCAGGAGAUCAUAUCAGAUAGGGGUACCCAGUUCAUUGCCGAAGUCACCCAAAAACUAUGGAAAAUAUGUGGCAUUAAGCCUAUAGUGAAUUCCGUGUACCACCCCCAGUCAAAUGGGUUAUGCGAAAGAUUUAACGGUACCCUAAAG